rnacentral:rRNA from 1 species
UACAGAGGUCCCGAGCGUUGUUCGGAUUUAUUGGGCGUAAAGGGUGCGUAGGCGGCGGAGUAAGUUGGGUGUGAAAUCCCGGGGCUUAACCUCGGAAUGGCAUUCAAUACUGCUUCGCUUGAGUACUGGAGAGGAGGCUGGAAUUUACGGUGUAGCGGUGAAAUGCGUAGAUAUCGUAAGGAAGGCCGGUGGCGAAAGCGAGCCUCUGGACAGUUACUGACGCUGAUGCACGAAGGCCAGGGGAGCAAACGGG